rnacentral:rRNA from 1 species
AGUGAACGCUGGCGGUGGGCCUAACACAUGCAAGUCGAACGGCAGCACAGUAAGAGCUUGCUCUUACGGGUGGCGAGUGGCGGACGGGUGAGGAAUACAUCGGAAUCUACUUUUUCGUGGGGGAUAACGUAGGGAAACUUACGCUAAUACCGCGUACGACCUACGGGUGAAAGCAGGGGAUCUUCGGACCUUGCGCGAUUGAAUGAGCCGAUGUCGGAUUAGCUAGUUGGCGGGGUAAAGGCCCACCAAGGCGACGAUCCGUAGCUGGUCUGAGAGGAUGAUCAGCCACACUGGAACUGAGACACGGUCCAGACUCCUACGGGAGGCAGCAGUGGGGAAUAUUGGACAAUGGGCGCAAGCCUGAUCCAGCCAUACCGCGUGGGUGAAGAAGGCCUUCGGGUUGUAAAGCCCUUUUGUUGGGAAAGAAAAGCAGCAGGUUAAUACCCCGCUGUUCUGACGGUACCCAAAGAAUAAGCACCGGCUAACUUCGUG